rfam:Erwinia carotovora subsp. atroseptica SCRI1043, complete genome
CCGUUCUCAACGGGGUGCGGAAAAUUUUUCGCUGAGAAGAUACCCGUCGAACCUGAUCCGGUUAAUACCGGCGAAGGGAUUUGAGAGUGCGGCUUAU